rnacentral:rRNA from 1 species
GUAACCUGCCUUGGAGUGGGGAAGUAACAGCUGGAAACAGCUGCUAAUACCGCAUAAUGCAGUUGGGUCGCAUGGCUCUGACUGCCAAAGAUUUAUCGCUCUGAGAUGGACUCGCGUCUGAUUAGCUAGUUGGCGGGGUAACGGCCCACCAAGGCGACGAUCAGUAGCCGGACUGAGAGGUUGGCCGGCCACAUUGGGACUGAGACACGGCCCAGACUCCUACGGGAGGCAGCAG